rnacentral:misc_RNA from 1 species
CAUGCUUCAAGGCAAGCCUUCUGCUUCAAAGUUUUAAUGUUUCCUUGUACACAGAUAGUCUCUAUGGGACAGCUCUUUGGUAGAAGUAAUGUGCAAAUCUCCCUCUCCUUGUCUAUAACACACCUUGGUGCAGGUUUAAAAUACCUGUAUUCAAGAAGUGAAUCAACGAGGCAAAAGAUUUUUGUAGUUAAAAGCCCUGCAUCCACAUCAUCCUUAGAAUUAACACCAAUAGACCAUUUUGGACCAGUUCUAAUGCAAUUAUCAAAUGUCUGUGAGGCUUCCAAAUUGAACUCUUUAACAAUAUUCUCACCAAAUGCCUCCGAUUUACCCCGUGAAAGAAAGUUGCUUUUAGGGCGCGAUAAGACCUCUGCAGCCUUAAAAGUCGGCCAAACACCAUGUUCAUCCAAACAAUACAUCA